rnacentral:rRNA from 1 species
GAUGAACGCUAGCUACAGGCUUAACACAUGCAAGUCGAGGGACCGGCGCACGGGUGAGUAACACGUACCCAACCUGCCCUUUACUCGGGGAUAGCCUUUCGAAAGAAAGAUUAAUACCCGAUGUAAAGGAUGGGGAUGCGUUCCAUUAGGUUGUUGGUGAGGUAACGGCUCACCAAGCCUUCGAUGGAUAGGGGUUCUGAGAGAAAGGGCCCCCGCAAUGGAACUGAGACACGGUCCAAACUCCUACGGGGGGCAGCGGUAAGGAAGAUAGGUCAAGGGGCGUUAGCCUGAACCAGCCAAGUAGCGUGAAGGAUGAAGGCUUAUGGGUCGUAAACUUCUUUUAUAUAAGAAUAUGUAUUAUAUGAAUAAGGAUCGGCUAACUCCGUGCCAGCAGCCGCGGUAAUUC